rnacentral:lncRNA from 1 species
GAAAUUUGGUCCACGUGAAAUUAACGUGCAAGAGUAUCAGCAUUCCACAGACACGCAUGCACUUAACGCAGUUCUCAAGGAGUUUCAGCCUUGUUACACACAAAAUGUGACGAGGCUGGUCCUUUGAAAUACAGGUACUACACAUUUUUGGCACUUGAGUGAAGUGUAGCAACGUGAAAUAGAGUCCUAGCCAAGGACACAACGCGUCACCAGGUAUCGAACUCACAACGUUGAGAUCGCAAGCUAAAUACCCUAACCACUAAGCUACGCACCUUCACAAAUAUGUUAGCAUAUAGUAUAUGUGUAUGUAUAUGUUCAGAAGACGCCGAAAAAUCGAGCGGGCUUAAUUGAUGAGGCAACGGAAAUUGCCGGAACUACGUCAGUAUUAAGAAUUCUCGAUCGGUAUUUUCCGUACGAUUAUGGUCUCUGUUAAUGUAUAUGUUGUCAUUUAUGUGCAAACUACAGCAUUAGAGCGCAUUAGCUCUUAUUUCUAGCAAUGUAGAUUUUCCUAACACCUUAAUCACAUUUAGUGACAAUUAUAAUUCUCCUUUUAGGUGAAACAAUAUCAAGCUGCUGUUUAUAUUAAUUUUAUGUAUACACAUUAGCAAAUCGCUAAAUCAUCCAAUAAUUUGGGUGACGAAAAUAUAAAUAGCAAUAACGAAGCGGAUCCAGAAGCCGAACAAUCGAGCGGGAUUAAUUGACGAGGUAACAGAAACUGCGGAAACUGACGGCAGUAUUGAGAAUUCUCAGACAAAAUCGGUGUUUCGUAACACCUUAAUCACCUUUAAUGACAAUUAUAUUUAGGCAUACAUACAUAAAUAUAUACAUACAUACAUGCAUACCUACACACACACAUUUUACUUUACACUGUAUAUCACAUAUGAAAAUAUACUACCUGUAUAUACAGUGUCUUUCUAGACAGAUUAAGAUCAUCUUCUCUAAAAACUCUUGUAAAUUCCCCACUUUAUAAGCCUACUAGAUUUGAGGCCAUAGAACAAUUUGUAUUUUACGACGCAUCCUCGGCCGCUAAUUCGAUCACAAAAUACCCAUCUGAUGAAUUUGUUUUCUAUGGUAUCCUUUAUAUCGAGAUUUUAGCUAAUGUUAUUGAUUAGCUCAUGUAAUGCCGUUAUGUAAUAGACAGCGACAAUUUGCAUAAUUUACUCUGUAUUUGUAUGUAUAUAUGUGUAUACAUAUGUAUAGUGGAGGGGCAAUGGCCCAGUGGUUAAGGCAGCGGACUCGCGCACAUAGGAUCGCUGUUACGAUUCUCAGACCGGGCGUUGUGAACGGAAACAUCUAAAGCUCCACAAGGCUCCGGCAGGGGCUGGAGGUGAAGCCUGCUGUAUUCCUUCACCACAACUUUCUCGCACUCUUUCCUCCUGUUUCUGUUGUACCUGUAUUUCAAAGGGCCAGCCUUGUCACACUCUGUGUUACGCUGAAUCUUCCCUAGAACUACGUUAAGGGUACACGUGUCUGUGGAGUGCUCAGCCACUUGCACGUUAAUUUCACGAGUGGGCUGUUCCGUUCAUCGAAUCAACUGGAACCUUCGUCGUCAUCACCGACGGAGUGUCAUGACGAUACAUAUAUAUAUAUAUAUAUAUAUGUGUGUGUGUGUGUGUGUGUGUGUGUGUGUGUGUGUGUGUGUGUGUACGUGUGUCUGGAUGUGCAUGUGACGGAGUACAGAGAGAAAUAGUUGCCAGGACCGUUAUUGGUUUUGUGCUUCAAAAUUAUUCUCUGCGACAGAGUCACCGUAACCUUUACUCUGUCUGCUAUAUAUAGCAAUAGCUAAAAUAUAGAUAUAUACAACAGUGCAGAAUACUAUUGCAACAAGACAUAUUUAACAAAAGAGUAAUUGUUUAGUAUAAAUAGCUGCCUAGAAUGCGUUGUAAUAUUCCAAUCAGACUAUCCGGUUUACAGAAACCCUUAAAAAUAAUGCGCUUAUAAGUUGUAGAUUGUGGGGAAUUUUUGACAAUUCUUAAUAUAGAUCAGUGGUUCUCAACCGGGGUCAAUAUGUCCCUUAGGGGUCCAUAUUAGAUUUUGUUGCUAAAAUUUGUCUGCAAUAAAUUUGUUAUACUACUACAGUUCACAAAAUAUUUAACAAUUCUUUGUAUAAAACUCCUAAUAAUAUUUAAUCACAAAAAUAUGAUUUUUUAAAGUAUGCAGUAGCUAUAAAGUGCCAUCUGAGUAAAAUAGGAACCAAAGGGUCCUGUAGUUAAAAUAAAUGGUGGAGAAACACUGCUCUACAUGAAUUAUCAAUUACUCUUAAUCUUUCUAGGCAGAUACUAUAUAUAGAUGUAUAUACAGAGUAUUGACACCUGUGUAUUAUACAAUUUAAAAUAAACCGACAACCACAUAACUCAAACUUUCAUAUACAUUCCUACCUACAUACAUACAUACCUACAUACAUUCGUUCAUACAUACAUAUAUAUAUACAUACAUACAUACAUGCAUACAUACAUAAAUACAUACAUAAAUACAUACAUACGCGAGAAACUGUACACUGUUGUGAAAAUUAUCUACCCAGUGGAUGUUAACGUAAAGCUGAAGAUCAGUGAAAAAGAGAACACAUAUGCUGAACUAUUGAGAAAUCAGAAUUUGCUCUAUCCAAAUUACAAGUUCACUUAUAUACCUGUAAUUAUUGGGACCCUGGGAUAUGUAACACACAGCCUAAAUACCAAUCUUGAGAAAUUAGGCUUCUCAAAACCAGAAAGGAGAAAGCUAAUUCGAAGAUUGCAGAUCCAAUCCAUCACUGUGAUGUUAAACUUUCGAGAAGUUUAUCAUUUGAAUAUAUAUGUGCAUAUCUACAUAUGCUACUAUAUGCAUAAGAAUACAUACAUACAUACGUACGUACAUACAUGCAUACAUACAUACAUACAUACAUACAUACAUACAUACAUACAUACAUACAUACAUACAUACAUACAUACAUACAUACAUACAUGCAUAUAUACCCUGUUGUUGAUGUUGAAAUUCCAAUGAAGGAGCCUUGCAUCUAGUUUCGAAACCGGUUCUUUCUCUAUUGGCAAGAAAUCUUGAAAUAAAACUGAAUACAUACAUACAUACAUACAUACAUACAUGCAUACAUACAUACAUACAUAUGUAUGUGUGUGUAUAUAUCAUCAUCAUCAUCAUCAUCAUCAUCGUUUAACGUCCGUUCUCCAUGCUAGCAUGGGUUGGACGGUUCGACCGGGGAUCUGGGAAGCCAGAAGGCUGCACCAGGCUCGGGUCUUAUCUGGCAAUGUUUUCUACAGCUGGAUGCCCUUCCUAACGCCAACCACUCCGUGAGUGUAGUGGGUGCUUUUUACGUGCCAUAUAUAUAUAUAUAUAUAUAUAUAUAUAUAUAUAUUUAUAUAUAUAUAUGUAUGUAUGUAUGUGUGUAUGUGUGUGUGUGUGUGUGUGUGUGUGUGUAAUAUUUUUCUGUGUAUAUGUGUGUGAUGUUUGCGGAUGAGAUAAUCGUUAGGGAAUGACAUUGUAUAAAAUCAUAUAUUAUUUUUCCUCCAUUUUGUGUUGCCUUUCAUAUUUAUACUGUUUUCCCGAGACUGAGACGAGAUUAAAUAUUUGUAAAGGCCAAUUCUGUUGGUAAAGAUCACACAUUCAAGUGUAGUCAUACCAAACGCACACUCACACAUGCAUACAGAAACACGCACUCACACAUAUACAUACACACACAUAGAAACCUAUGUGUAAGUAAACGUGGUGGGUAUGUAUGUAUCUAUGUUUUUUUUUAUGUAUGUAAACACCUAUAUAUUUCACCAGUAUUGCUAGACGAUGGUACAUCACCCUCUUCAGAAAGGCUAGACAGUUAAUGGGAAACAUGUAUUGCUCACUAACCUUUUAGUUGUGUCCAGGAGAGAGCAGCGUCAUAUGAUUGGCAGUAGUUAAGCAGCUGAACAAGGAAGUUAAGUGAUUUGACACGAGGGACACAAUGCAACGCUAAUUAAUAACUCAUGACACACGAGCCAGCAGCCCCUUAUCUCAAUGAUUUGGUCAUUGCUCCGCUCACAUAGACAAGCACACAUAAACUGACAUUCACAUAUAUCACGUGUGUGUGUGUGUAUGCAUGUAUAUGCGUGUGCGUAUGUACUUUCUCUCUCUCCUCCUCGUUUCUCUCCCUCUUUCUGUCUCUCAUAUAUAUAUAUAUAUAUAUAUAUAUAUAUAUAUAUGUAUGUAUGUAUAUAUAUAUAUAUAUAUAUAUAUAUAUAUAUAAAUAUAUAUAUAUAUGUAUUUUUAUAUAUAUACAUAUAUAUACAUUCACACACACACACACACACGAACAGACAUAUACAUAUACUCAUUAAAAUGAGUGCAAGUACAUGCGUGUUGUAUAGUGCAUGUGUGUUUAGUGUUGGUUUGAUUCUUUGUGUGUGUAUGUGUGUGUAUGUGUAUGUGUGUGCAUAGGUGUGUGUGCGCGCGCGUGUAUAUAUGACCUGAUAAUGAGAUAUAAUACGCUAUAGUGAUCGUCACACAUGCUUCGUUUCAACUCUGCAGGAUACUAAUAGAAUGCAGAUUCGAGCAUUUGCUCUUGUUGGUGUUGUUGUUGUCACUGCUGUAGUUGUUGUAUUGUUGUUUAGCCCCAGGUCAGCCCGGAUCGAACAGGCUUGUGAUUCUAAUAUAGUGCAGAUGAAAACUCUUUUAAUAGGCGGCCACGUGUCUAACGUCAAUGAGAAGAAUUCCAUUUUACUGUCUUCCCUACGCAUACUUGUUUUUGAUUUGUUUUAUUGUUCUGUGGUGGGGAAGUAUUUUUUCUCACUUUCUCUAACCUAUCUAUAAUAGCUGCAAUCACCACAGACAUUUUUAUUAUCAUAUUUCAGGCACUGACAAUGAUCAAAUGAGAAAUUUCAAUUUGUUAGAUAGAGUGACCGCAACAGACUCUUGCUUUUACCACAACUGUCUCAAUAUUUAACUCUGUCUGUAAUAAUGAACAUGGCUAUCACUCAUGAUAUAGCAGGCUAAUUUAAUAAUUUGAAAAACACAAAACAUUACAACUGCUGUGUGUCAAUUAGGGACAUGCUAGCAGUUAAAUAUAUUUCACAUUUUUUAACUAGUCAAGUAGUAAAAAGAAAGGUUUCUCUUUAAUUUUUCCUUUCCUGCUGUGUUACGCUGUAAUCAGUUCUUGGACAGUUCCAUUUGAAAAUCAUUUCUGUUUUUUUUUCUCUUUUUCGUUUUCCAUUUUCGAUGAAAAGCGGUUACUCCUAUUUUCUUAAUCUUUAUCCGUAUCUGAAGGAAGUAGUUCGGAGAAUGAUUUUCAUUGCUUUCACGCAGCACAAUAUAGACGGCUUCGAGAUAGUAAGAAGAAUCGCCGUUGAUACUCCACCAGUAUUUUAUUAGCCUGAAGUUGCAGAUCACUGCAACAAAUCCAUAACGCCAAAUCUCCCUUAAAUCACAUCUUAACUUGUCAAUAAAUGGAGAGCACAUGAGACAAUGUAUCAAUAAAUAUGUAAAUAUUCUGGAAGGACACACGUGGAAAGACUUUGAUUAAAGGUUUGCUCUACUAUUUAAACUGUAAUGUUGACCAUAAGAAGGGAAAAGAAUCAAAGUUUUUGAUGGAAUGUUAAUAUUAACAUUGACGAUAAUGAUAGUGUCGUUCUAGUGUCGUUUUUAUCCAACUCAGAUGAAGCAGACCUAUAGUUCAAGGCAUGGCAGUCGUGACUAUCACAUUCUUUUAGCUAUAUGUUUUGUUAUGUUGGGAGAUGCCAGUCAGUAAGUUUCCGCCAGUAUAUUUGAUCGAUAGCUGUUUUUGCUACAUUUCUCCAAGUGGUCAUCGUGUACUACAUUUGAGAUUUUUCGAAAAUGUUCAGCGCAAGGUAUUCUUGAAGCAGUACUUUCUAAACGCUAUUUUGGUGUCCAUGUCAAAAAAGUCCUUGCAUGAUGCUUGGUGGUUGGCAGGCGUAAAGUAUGGCCCAGUGCGCCAUAUUCUAUAGUUGCAAACCGGUGCAAUACCAUAAUAGCCUGUAUAUGGAUUUUUAAAAUCUUGUUGUGACUUAGAUUUUUUCUUUUUUCAUCUAGAAGGCAGUUCACUAAAGAUUAAUACAACCUGUUAUGAUGCGUUGCGCACCGUUUUUGCGUUCUAUUUAUUAUAUUGCGAAAUUAUACGGAAUGACUGUGGCACAGGUAGGGCUAGCAGAGCUCACGGUUAAUGAAAUAUAUUGUUUGUAUUUCAAUAUUACUGUUUCCUGUUGGCUAGAUGUGGUAUCUGUGUUUGUUCUAAGUACGUUUGAGCAUCGUUUUGCUUCCGUGCAAAGAAGUACGAGGAAAGAACAAUAUGAUGACGAUAGGCAAGAUCAAAAGGAUUGAUCUUCUUGGGAAUGGAAACUACAAUGGUGUGUAAGUCAGAUUCGAGGUAAGAUUUGAGGUAAGACAGGUAAGACAGGUAAGUCCGAUUCGAGGAAAGUAAAGAAUAUUGAAACGCUGCGCUCAAAUAUAGAACUUAAUUGGUUUGAAGACCGUCUGGUAAUAUAUAUAAAAAGAAAAAUAAGAAGACUGCUUUUUUCCUCGUUUAUAUCGAAAUCAUCAACUUAUUAAUAUUAUAUUCCAUCUAUCACAAUCAUUUUAUUUCCUCGUAUUUACAUGCCUCAAUAUUCAUAAUUAUUCAGUUAAUAAAUACUUUCAAUAUAGUAAAAUCUGGUUGUACAGAUUCCAUGCAUCUUGUCUGAAACGUUGUCCAACGAAUAGUUAAGAAAUAAAUUCAAUCACGCAGUCCUUUUGCUAAUAUAAUUAUUAUCAUUACUACAAUAUGUAUUAAGUCAUAAAACUGAGCCUUGGUGCAUCUGAGCUCUUUCACAUUUCUGGAUAAUAAUUACGUUUUUUCUCCAGACUUUCUGAUAACUAGAGUUACAAUUUUCCACGAUUUAAAGAUAGUGAUUGUUCUAAUGUCAAAAUAAGGAGUGUCAUUCUAAGUCAGAGGUUUCAAGCAUCUCAGUGUCUAAGUGCCAAUACAAAGAUAAUUAGAUAACUUAUUCGGUCACUUGUUCUGAUUCAUAUUCAAUAUUUUGGAUAGUUUGCUGAGAGUAUUAGAUAAGCAAGUUGAUAAUGUCCAAAGAAAGCAGUUGGAACCUACUCAGCUUAAAAGUUUUGCAUCAAUCAUCUAGUCUGCAACCCUAUUGUAUUCACAAAUAUUCUGUGAUAGGUAGCUAUAUAGAUUGUCCAUACACAAACAUAAGGAUUGUUAUUAGAAUCGGUAAGCUUGUGGUAAUCAGCAGAUUGUAAAGUUAAAAGAAAAUAGGUAUGAGAUAGAGUAUCUGAAGUCGACGUAGAAUUUAUUAUAUUUGAGACUUUAGCAGAGAAGUAAAAGACACCAACUCAUUUCUUCUUUCAUGAUAUAUAUGGCGAACAGUCACAAAUAUAUGGAAUAACAUUUGACCUGUUAAUAACCCAAACUUAUUCUUUGCAGGUAUUUUAUCGAAAGGAAUGUCACGAACGCGUCAAUUCUAAUGGUAUCUGAGUCCUAAACUGCAUGAAAAUAUGCAUGGCUUUGUAGUUAAGAAUUCACUUCGCCAAAUUUAGUUUUACUUUCAGUUCUAUUACAUUGCAAGACACGUUUCUUCUACUACAGCCUCUAGUCGACCAAAGUAUUGUGAGCGAAAUCUGUUAGUAGUAGGAAUAUGUGUGGAAACCUAUCAAGGAAGCAUUUCUCUUCUUGACUAGUUGACUCAAGCCAUCGUCUGGCUUAACACUACCACAGUGCCUAUUGCUAACAUUGGAGCAUGGCCUUUACUUUGAGGGUAACUUCGUCUUAUAGUCUCAGAAUAUAUAGAAACGGGUCCGGGGCAUUGUUUCUUUUCUCCUCUGAUUAAGGCAGUAACCCUUUGCCUGUGCAUCACGUGAUAAACAGGACAUAUUUUUCUGGUGUUCAUGCAGUAUAUAUGGAACGCAUUCCCAAUUUCUUCAACCUCCAGAGUAACUUGGGAUUCAUUGAAAAAAAAAUUAUAUUACUCGGAACAUAUGAAGCAAGUGUGUGGAAAUAAGUGUGGAAAAAUGUGGAAAUAAGCAUGUGCGUUUAGGAGAAAUUUAUGAAAAUGCUUUGGACAGGUAAGUAGUUAAACUGGUAGCUCGAAAUUUAUAUUCUUUCUGUCUUUUUAUUCUUUUUACUUCAGUCAUUUGAUUGCGGCCAUGCUGGAGCACCAACUUAAGGUGUUUUAGUCGAACAAAUCAAUCCCAGGAUUUAUCCUUUAUAAGCCAAGUAUUUAUUCUAUCGGUGCCUUAUGCUGAACCGCUAAGUUAAGAGGACGUAAACACACCAGUAUUGGUUGUUAAGUGAUAGUGGGGGCGGAACAAACACAGACUCACAGGCAAAUAUACACAUGCACACACACAUACACAUACAUACAUAUAGAUAGAUAAACAGACAGACAGACAGAUUGAUAGAUAGAUAUACGACAGGCUUCUUUCAGUUUCCGUCUAUCAAAUCCAUUCACAAGGGCCCGAGGCUAAAGUAGAAGACACUUGCCCAGGGUGCCACGCUAUAGGACUGAACCCGGAACUAUGUGGUUAAGAAGAAAGCUUCUUACCACCCCAGUGCCUAUAUGUGUAUAUAUUUAUAUUUCCGUAUCACAUUUGUACUAAACGUCUUGAUAUAAAAUGUUUUGUUAAUGGAUUUCACUAGAAAUUAUCAUCCGGUUAGAUUUUAAUUGUAUUAUAGUAUUUUAGCUUUUAUAAAUUUGUGGGACAUUUUGUUGUCAUGUAAGUGAUACUGAUCAUAUCUUUAGAACCGAUGUGACUUGCAACGAAAUUUCUUCUCUGAUUCAUUCAUCUGACUUGUAACGGAUUCUGAAGUAGUUUAUUACAAGUACUAAGUAUAAUAAUGAAAUGCAGAAUUUUAAAAAGUUUGCCUUGGUUGUGAUGCUUUGAAAUAAUAAACGAUAAACGCUUUAACGUUUGGAAAUAUUUAUUUUAACAAUGAUAACAAACACUGCGUAUCUAUCAAACCAACAGUAACAUGACAGUGAAGGGACGUUUAUAAAACAGCGGAGUUUCAAUGUGAUGAACCGAUCUGCUAGAAAGAGCAGCCAAAUCACCCUUAAGUUACAUACUACCGUCAAACAAAACAAAACACAUUGAUUAAUGAUGUGCACGUGUAUCAAGCAUUGGAAACAUAAGUCCUUUUUGCUAGAGUCAACCUAGUAUUAAUCAAUAAUAAACGUAAUACUUGAUAAACACUCAAUGGGAGAUCUUUGAAAUUCGAUCAGAUCUAACUACUGAAGCUUUAACUGAUCAUAACCACCGUAGCUAUAAUUGUUUAUUGCAUUUUGAUAUUGUACUGUAUAUAUUAGUCAAAUUCAAAGUUAACCAUUCUAGCUUUAUUGGAAAAAUAUGCAAGAUAUCUCACUCUGUUUCUUGCUUGUUUGUUUGUAACGGGUACAUAUUUGUAUAAUAUUAUAUUAUACAAAUACUACUACGCCAGGCUUAAUAUAUUCUACUGAUUACGCAUAUUUAUAAACACAUGUAUCACAUUUUAGAAGUAUUUUUGUGCGAUCAAUUAAUAUAAAAAUUUGAUCAAUACUGCUACGAAAUAGUUAUACCAUUCAAUUAAAUUCAUUAAUCGAUACUUAGGGAGAGUUAAACUCAAUACUUAGAAGAUUAAAACUAAUUACUGUAAGGCAUUUAGUCUGGUACUGUAUUGCUUCAACCAUGAAAUCUGAUAAAAAAUAUUAAUAAUUCUCUUACUGAUAAGGCAAGUCGUUAGAUGCUACCUAAAUGUCAACAGAUGUACUAAUUAACUUCACUAAAUGUCAAUAAUUAUAACGGAAAUCUCAUGAAAGUUACAAGUAUUUAACCACAAAAACACUAAUAAUUUUUAUGCUAUAUUCUGCUGUUAUGAACUAUUUUAUGAAGCGCUGUUUUAUUACUCCGCAAGUACUAUUUGCAAUAGCCAUAUCCAUUACAGUUGCCGUGACAACUUCAACUCCGCUAACCAUGAAUAAAUUCUCUUUACAACUAAAAGUCAUAAUAGUAUUUUACAGCAUGGCCUUUAAAUGGCCUUCAAAUUAAUCCCAUUAAAGAUGAAAUAUUAAAGUUUUGUUUUGUUGAUUAUUCUUUGAAGUUUUUUAAGUUGCCAAACAUUACGAAUAUCAUUAGCUCAUAUUUUCCAAUUCCAAACAAAUACUGUAGCUCAUGAAAUCAAGUACCCGUUUACAUAAUCAGUUAACCUAUCAAGGGAAAAACAAGACCUUCAUCUUGUUUAGUUAUUUAUUUUUUGUUUCCUUAAUCAUUCUUAUUUAGAGCUCCAUUUUUAUGUUAAUCUUCAUUCAAACAAUCCAACUGAAAUAAUAAACGUUGAGAGAAAGAGACACCCCUCCAAUAAAAGUUUAUUACCCAUUGUUUUCUAUUUGAUUUAUCAUUUAUUUCUCGCCGGUUUAUGAAUGAUUGAUGAAUAGGUGAAAAUGAAGACAUCAUCUGCUUUAUACAAGAGUUUAUGGCAUCGUCUUUUAGACUUUGAAGAUGUGGGACUUAUUAUGAAUCUUGGUUUUAUGUCCUGUUUAAAGCUAAGUCGAUUUUCUUGUACGUCAACUGGGAAACAAGACCUUCAUCUUGUUUAUUUAUACUAAUUUUUCCCCCUAUAUUAAGAUGAAUGAGAAAUUAAGUGUUCCUCAGUUCUGUAAUUCUGCGUACCGAGUUCAAAUCUCAUUGGUGACAGUAGUGUUUUUCAAUCUUUCGACCCUCUGUUUGUACAACUCGAAAGAGAAAAAUCAUUAGGGAAUCAUAGUGCAUGCGAAUACGAUGUCUUUCUCUGUCUGUCUCUCUCACUCUAUUGCUCUUUUUCUCUACCACUUUCUCACACACGUAUUAAUGACAGCAUAACAAUAACCAAUCAAAUCAGGGAUUGUAUAAUCAAUUUCUUUACAGCUGUUUCUGCUAUAAGGUACUGUGCACACAGAAUUGAGUGCUAGUACAUUUUAUAUCUUACUCAGAGGCAUUUGAAAAAUGUUAUUGGUUAUUGGUACCAUUAUGACCAAGCCGAGUUACAUUAUCAUAAUAUAUAACUUAUAUGAAUAUUUGAAAUGGAGGCAGUAUACAGUUCCUCUCAUAUGGACGCACGGUGCUUCAAAGCAGCCACGCAUAUUCUGCUUCUUCGGUGGUAGGUGCCCGUUCACUACAAAUCACUAAAUCUCAUUGCCUACGAUAUAUAGAGAAACAGUGUUUUUUCAGACAAGGAUGUCGCAGAUAGUCAGCAGUAUUAUUAAAAACUAAAUACUAGCAACCGGAGCAGCGUUAAUUCCAAAAGCAACCUUUGUAUCCAACGUAAUGUGGAAGUAUUAUUAGAUGGCCUAACACAGCGGCAUUCGAACACAGAGUUCCUCUCAUGUAAACGUACGAAUCUUACAUCCACGUUCAGUUAGAUAUAAAGAUUGUCUCUUCGUAUUAAUACUGCUUCUGUUGCUAAUAUAUUUAAUUUUUAGUAAGCUGUUUGCUGUUUGCCAACAAUGUGUAUAAUAACAGUGUCUGAAAUAUACUCUUAUUCUAUAUAUCAUUGGUAGUGAGAUUUGGCUGGUUUGCGGUGACCAGGUACCUACAAUUGUAUACUGAAAUCACGUCAGUUCGUUGUUCCGACACCCAUUUCAGACAAUUCUCGUCUGCUACGAUAUACAGGGGUUGGACAAAAUAACGGAAACACCUUAAAUUUUCAUACAAAUUCAUUUUAAUAUAGGGUAGGGCAGCCUUUGGCAGUAAUUGAAGCUUGAAUUCUGCGAGAUAUGGACUCGUACACAGUUUGAAUUGUUUCCAAAGGAAUUUUUGUCCAUUUUUCAGCUAAAACAGUCUCCAGUUCUUGUAGUGAUGAUGGUGGAGGAUAUCAACGCCUUACUUGUUUUUCUAAACUGCGCCAUAAAUGUUCAAUAAUAUUGAGAUCUGGGGACUGUAGUGGCUUUAGCUGUGUGAACUGGUGCAUUAUCAUUCUGAAAGAUUGUGUUUCUCUCCGGAAACAGUUCCGCAACCAUAGGAUGAAUUUGAUCAGAUAAAAUGCUUAAAUAGUCUUGACUAUUAAUUCUGCCACGAAGGAAAACCAUUAGACCGGCAGAUUUCCAAGAUAUAACCCCACCCCGAUCAUCGCAGAUCCUCCUCCAUGUUUAACAGCUGGAAGAAGGCAGUCUGGGUCAAAUGCUUUCUUUGGCUGUCUCCACAUGUAUACUCGGCCGGUGGUCGGAAAUAAAGUAAAGAUGACUCGUCCGAGAAAAUAAUAUUCUUCAACUACUCUAUGGACCAAUUCUGCAGGUUUUUACUCCACUCUAAAAACGUUUGUUUUGAAAGUAGUGGUUUCCUGAUUGCAGCCCUUCCGUGAAAUCUAGUUUUGUGCAGCUCCCGGUGAACAGGUUUUGUGGAACGUAGGUUCUCGAGAUGAUCGUUAAGCUGUGCAGUAAUUUCGAGAGCUGUAAUUUUGUUAUUCUUUCUAACAAUUCGUGUAAGAAUCCGACGGUCCCUAACUGAAAUUUUGGAUUUCUUUCGGAGAUUUAUUUCGACAAGGAUGUUUUCACUCUUUCUCAAAGGCUGACAUUACAUUCGAGACAGUACUUCUUGAUACAUUAAACAUUUCGGCUCUUUUCGUUACGCUAGCGCCUGCCAUACGAGCACCAACAAUUUGAUAUCGUUGAAAGUCCGAUAGAUCUGCCAUUUUAAUGAAUUCUAAUUAUCUUCUUCUGAUGAUAUCUGAACAGAAACAGCAAUUUUAGCGAAACAUAUUAAGCAACACUAAUAAUAAAUCAAAAAACAUUAAAGUAAACAAGCUUUUGACGGUUUUAUAGAUAUUUCAAAACUAUGAUACUAUCAUGCUAGGUGUUUCCAAUAUUUUUUCCAACCCUUGUAUGUGUUUGCAUUUAAGCAACGUGAGUUUACAUGACAAGACCUCUCAGGGCAAAUACCGAAGUAUUCGGAGUUCUAACAAUGCAUCCACAUUAAGUUGCAGAUAUUUUCUUGGACAAGUGUUUUCUACUAUAGCCUCGGGCCGAACAAAGACUUGUGAGUGGAUUUGUGUAGACGGAAACUGAAACAAGCCCGUCAUAUAUAUAUAUGUAUAUGUAUAUAUGCGAAUCUAUAUGUUUGUAACUGUGUUUGUCCCCCAUCACCACUUGACAACCGGUAUUGGUGUGUUUACGUCCCCGUAACUUAGCGGUUCGGCAAAAGAGCCCGAUAGAAUAAGUACCAGACUAAACGGUACUGGUGUCGAUUCAAGCCGGUGCUCCAGCAUAGCUGCAUUCUAAUGACUGAAGCAGGUAAAGGAUAAAAAAUAAGAUAUAUAUAUAUGUGUGUGUGUGUGUGUGUGUGUGUGUGUGUGUGUGUGUGUGUAUUUGUGUGUGUGUGUAUGUGUGUAUGCAUAAAAAUAUAAAUAUUAAUAUCCAGCAAGAAUAAAGUACUAUAGAUGUAUUGAGUUAUUCUUUAUUCUUCUAACGGUCUCCGGAGAAGUAUGACAGAUUUGUCCUCUAUUCACCGCCCGUACACAUCUCUGCCUGUAAAUAUUCAGUAAAGCUCUACAUAGCACCAUAAACGUAACUAUUUCUAGCAAUGAUCGCACUUCGUGUACACCUGCUUUAUAUAUCUAUAAUCCUUCAUAUGUGCCGCGUUAUUCUUGCUGGAUAUUAAUAUCAUUUUAAUAAUAUUUAUAUUUUCGUGCAUGUUUUAUCCCUGAUCUUGGUUUCGACUAUGACUAUGACUAUGAGCCGAGUAAACAGGCAGAAAUGUAGUGGAUAUUUUAAAAUUUGCUCGUUCAUGAAAGACUCAACUGACGAUACCCAAUCAGAUUCGCACUCACGCACGUGAUCUGAAGAAUUUGAAACUGCAGUAUUUCCGUAGAGUACGGAUUCCGUAGAGUAAGACAGAAUUUUCCUCAUAUUCAACGCCUGCACACAUCUCUACCUGUAAAUAUUCAGUGAAGCUCUACAUAGCGCCGCAAACGUACCGGCUGCUAUUUCUAGCAACGAUCGUACUUCGUGUACACCUGGUUUAUAUAUAUAUAUAUAUAUAUAUAUAUAUAUAUAUUUAUAUAUGUGUGUGUGUUUGUGCAUAUAUAUGUGUGCAUAUAUAAAUAUACAUAUAAAUAAAUAUAUAUAUAUAUAUAUAUAUAUAUAUAUAUAUAUAUAUAUAUAUAUAUAUAUGUAUGUGUGUGUGUGUGUGUAUACAGACACACACGCACACACACAUAUACAUAUAUAUGUUGUCGCUGCCACGAAGCUCCAGUUAUUUAGGCAUACUGUUUUUAUGUUUGUACACAUGUUUAUGUAUGUGACAGUGUGUUUGUGUGUAUGAAUAAGUAGUAUAAAUGUAAAAAUAGUCUUUUAAGAAUAAUAAUUUCUCACAUCGGCGUCAGGUCAGAAAAUUUAGGGCCAGAAAUAAUCGAUCAUAUCGACUUUAAUACGUAACUAGUCCUUUAGUUUCACGACCAUUGAAGGAUGAAAAGCAAACCUGAUUUUGGUGCGAAAAGCUUGCAGAAAUACUGCACGGAAGUUAGUCCGACGGUGUAAAGGUUCUGACAACUCACCUGUCAUUAAAGCAAUUUAAAAAAAAAUUCUGCUAUAUUAUAAACUUUUAUUAAGUUGUUGCUCUUUAGCCCAUGCCCAGCAUGACUAAGUAGAACUAUGAUGAAAAAUGUUGCAACCGAGACAAUGCCAUAAACAUAUUUAUGUCGAUAUCAAGGACUACUUUUUCAAAUGAGUACAUUUUUAAUACUGAUUUUAUGUGGAUUGAGGGGAAAUAGGCAGCUAGUUUUCGAAAAUCGAACGUCCUUGCUUAGAAGCUCGCUUGUUUGUUUUCGAAAUUAUUCUUACGAAGUGAUUGCUUACUGUGUGAAAUAAAUUUAUAGAUAAAAAUAAUAUAAAACAAACAACUUUAACUAACCUAAUACUGGGUGUUUCCAUGACCUAUUAAAUUUAUUCAGGCUAAGUCAGCAUAGCUAAUCUUAUUUUAUUGUUUGUCUACGCCAUACGGACAUAAGGAUAUGACGUCAGCAUUGUAUGUUAACUAACUCUACUAAGCUGAAUAGCAAUUAUGUUUGACUCACGUGAUGUUUAUCUUUGGUCUGCGUAGUGAAAAGUGUGUGACUUCUUCGUCGUUUUCCGACAAUGAGCACCCAGUUGUUUAACCAAUUGAAUUUCGUUUUGUAAAAUUACCAGGUAAGUGGCAGAUUAUUCCUCAGACAUCUGUACCAUUAACGCAAAUCUAGCCUGAACCAGGGUGACACUAUGCGAUAUGGUUGGCCCUUUCAGGUACAGUCUGGAGACAGAGCCAGAAAUUAUCAAGCUAAAUCAGCGUGACACAGUAUGACUAAUAAGGCCCUUCGAAUCACAAAUACAAUCGAAGGAAAUAAGAUGGCUUGAACAGAAAUGCUAUUGACACCGAAAGGCAAAGAGACAAAGCGGAUUUCGGCGGGAUUUGAAACUAGACAACCGAAACGAGUAGCGUAAAUCAUUUUAUUUGAUGUUCUAUUGGUUCUGUCAAUUCCGUUUUGCGCACGCUUUGUAGCAGCAGUGAAAUAUGAUACAUUUACAUAAGUGAACAAUGAUCGUUAAUAAUUUUAUGUCACUACCAUUGUAAAUACUGGCGAUCUUUGAAUAUUGAACAUGUUUGCCUCUUUGCUUUCUUGUCUUCGCGUCCCAGAAAUGAAAUUACACUCAAAUACCCACGUUUCUGUUUUAAAAUCUACAUAAUAUCCAUUGCUUGCAUAUACUGGGCACGUAUUUAUUUCAAGGCAAUCGGAAAAUUAUAUGAUUAACACCAACGUUAUUUUCCUUCGUAGGUAUUCUUUACCCCUCUCUCAAUUUCUGAACCUUCUUUCUGUCUCUUAUUCUCAUCCUUUUCCCUUUGUAUUUCUCCUCUCUUUUCCUUCUCACUUUCACUCUCCACUCCUUUUCGCCUACGUGUACCGUCUCUAAGUGCAGGGCAUUUAUUUAUGAAUUGCAAUGCUUUACACAUAUCUGUUUUCUUUCUUCUAUUGUUUAAAAUCUUUGCUUAUAUAUUUUUAUAACUUUUUGUUAGUUUUUUCCUUUUCGAUUCACCGAAUAUUCCUUUCAUUCUCUCCUUUCAAAUUAUCUAUCGCUCUACUUUCCCUUUUCUUUCCUUCCUUUACUUAAUCAUUUCAGUUUUUCAUUCGAACUUUUUAUUCCUAUAAUUUUAUCUAUUAUAUACUUUCUUUCAUUCGCUUUUAGUUUAUAUUCGCACUUUCAUAUUCAAUUUUUAUUUCUUAUUUUGGUAUCAUUCCUUUCAUUUAUUUUCUUGUAUUUUUUGCCAUUUGUAUUUUUAAAUGAGAUAAUCUUUAGUUAUGUCUACACUUUCUGUUUAAAACCACGUAUUUCGUGAAUUACAUAUGUUGUAGCGGUUUUUUCCUCUUAACCUAUAGCUGAACUUCAAUAAGAAACUUGCCUACAGCAAUGCUUUCUAAGUACAUAAUGAUUUCAAAAUCAGUCAAAUGGUGUAGGAACAACAUUUAUGAUGAAAUUAUAUUUUCCUGGCUAUAUUAAUUCUUUCUGUUAUUUCUAAAAUGAACCAAACAUCAAGGGUUUUGAGAAUCUUGGAUUGCUAUCUGUGAGAAACACACACGAAACACUGAAAAUUGAUAACACAAUUCUUUGAAAAUAUCUUAGGAAUCGCGACGAAACGCUUGAGCUGUAAUUCUCCUUUGAUGGAAUAUAAGGACAAUGUUCACUGGAUUUCUUAUAAAAGUGUAACAUCAAUAAUUGUAUUUGAUAUGUUUGAAUAAACAUCAUUAUGAGAAUAUGCGUAGAUUAAAAUGUGAACGCAAAUAUCAAAUAACAUACACAGCAAGCCAAGCAAAUUGAUAUGGAUGAGUAAAUUACAUGAAAUAUAAUUAGGAAUAAUGCUUUGUUUUAGUAUUAGAGUUAAAAUAACUAAAUUGAUAUAUAUUGUUAUUUAAAGUACAAGGGCCUUAUGCUCAAAACCUCUACAGUGUUUUUCGAUUCAUAUAAUAUUCUGGUCUUGCUUUAAUCUUACCAUUACUGGCAAGAUUAAAGCAACACGAACAACGAAAACUAAACAAGUAAUAUAUUAUAGUUCGAUGGAAGUUUUGUUCCUGCUUUCUCAAGUAUAGGGAUCUACGUAAUUGGAAAAUAAACUAAAUUUCUAAGGUGAUCUCUAGGCGGAUGAAUGAUCCUAAUAAUAUUACUGAUAGAUGCGUUGUCUAAACUAGUAAAAUUAAAUAGGAAUAUGAUUUUUACAUUACUUUUAAUCAUUAUAAUCGCAUUACUUUAAAUCUUUACUUUUAAUCAAUUAAUAUUAAUUUCUUACAAAGAUACAAGACUUAAAAUCUGGGGAGAUACAUAUACAAGAUUGUAUUAACUCCGGUUCCUUAUUCUAUUUACUAUGAAAUUAUUAAAGACAAAUUCGACCUUCCUGAGAUUUGAACUCAACGAAAGAACGAAAUGGAUCAUAACCAAAUAGUGCAAAACAAUUUAUCUUCUGAGGUCGACUUUGCUUUUUAUCCUUUAGGGGUCAAUUGAAUAAAUGCCAGUUACGCACUGGGGUCGAUGUAAUCGCUUUAAUCCUUUCCCCUAAAUCUGAGACUUUGCGCGUCCAAUAGAAAAUAUUAUUAUUACUAUUAUUAUUAUUAGUAGUAGUAGUAGUAGUAGUAGUAGUAGUAGUAGCAGCAGCAGCAGGUACAGUAGUAGUAGUAGUAGUAGUAGUAGUAGUAGUAGUAGUAGUAGUAGUAGUAGUAGUAGCAGCAGUAGUAGUAGUAGCAGUCUGCAUCUCACAAUGCAAGAAGAAACCUAAGACUAUGACUAGGUAAUCAUACACCGAAAAGAAUUUGACAGUCACAUAGGUCAGCUUGAUCAAGUUUUGACCUCUGACAGUACAAAAAAAUUGCUUCUGAAAAAUGUCAGACAAUCUAAAGUUAUGACACAAUUCAUUACCUUGUGUCUUUUCUCUUUUCAGUGAUCACCUGUGAUUUUAUCGUAGUUGUUAUUGUUGCUGAAACUCAGAGCAGCUCACGUCGAGUAGAACUAUAAUCAAAGAGAUUCAAGUUCGAAUCCGCAGCUGCUUGCAUUAUACAUACAUGCACACAUACAUUCCUACAUACAAACUACUGUAUGGUAUCACUCAGGCACCACCUGCUAAACAACAGCAGCAAAAAUAAAUAUAUUAAUGCAGCCCUGAAAAGUGAAGUGAGCAACAUUAUACGCGUAGGCAGUCAACUCCUCAAGAAACACCCUCUUCCUAUUCAGCCUCAAAACAGUUGGUCUUUCUUACCUCAGAGAAGACCUGGAUGGAAAGCACUGAGCAUACAAAACGACCAUACAUGGGUAUAUUGCCUGAAAUCUUGAAGACAGUAGAAUUGACACGAAGCGCAGCAUCUCUUAGACAAAAGACCAUUACAUCACACUUUGAAGACUAUGCGUUUGCAAUCCAGGAAGAGAUUGCCUCAAAGUACCUGGUGAACAAGAGAGACAGUGACGCUCUUGUAAUUCCAAGUUGCGCCGCAUAUGUAGGCUAUAUCAUGUUUCUGUGAAGACAUUACCCAUGUGAUUAGCAGCUGUUCUCAAGUCUCGUCAUGGUAUUACCUCCCAAUGCGGCACGAUGUAGUUGCUAAAGAGUUUACUAUGCCAUCCGCUAAAAAGACUGUCCAGAAAUAAACUUAGAAAGUCCCUCUAUUAUGAGAUACAUUCAUAAACACCAACUCAAGCAAUACUGGUGGAAUAUUUUCAGCAAAGCUUCUGUCAAAUGUAAAGAUAACAGGCCGGAUAUUGUUGUUUGGGACAGAGGGGCAAAGGCAAGUACUAUCAUGGAUGUUAGCUGCCCUGAAAAUAUAAUAUUUCUUUGAGAAUUAAUGAAAAAGAGGAUAUCUAUGGACAGCUACUUCGAGACUUCAGUUUCUAUAUCCAGACAAUGAACUUAUAUUUAUACGAAUAAUAAUUGAAGCACUAAGUUUUGUUAGUAAAUUCUUAAAGGAAAAUCUGAAUAAACUGGGAUUUUCAGAAAGAGAAAAUGACUGGCUGACUCGUACAUUACACGUCCAAUCUGUGAGUGGAAAAGUAAAAAUAUGCAAGACUUUCUCAAGCUCCAAAUGUGUACUUGUCUGUGUUAACUACAUCCCAGAGACGGAGCCUUGUAUCUUUGUUGGGAACCGGCACUCUCCUCAGUGGAAGAUCUAUAAUAAUUAAAACUGUUUUUGAAAGGAUGCACUGAGGCAUUGACAUCCAGCGGCCAGGAACAAGCUCAGAACUAAUUACACCAAGAUCCAAAUAGAUAAAAGCAGGAAUCGCCCCUUUGUAGGGUGUGUGGCAGAAAAAACGAAGUAAUCUUACCUAUUGCGAGCGAGUAUAGCAAGCUAGCUGAAAAGCUCUAUAAAAGGAGGCAUGAUAACGUGGCUAAGUUCGUCCUUUGGCUUUGUGAAAAGUACGGCCUGAACACAGUGCGGAAAUGGUACGAACAUGAAUCAGGGUCACCGAGAACAAGGAACAUAGAUACUAUGGGAUUUUACAAUGCAAUGUGACUCCCUAAUCGAGGCUCGGAGAUCAGAUAUUGUUAUGAUAGAUAAGGGAAGAAAGGAAACGAAUAUCAUAAAUAUUGCAAUACCUGGAGAUAUACGCAUAGGUGACAAUGAAGUUGAAAAAAUUGGAAAGUAGAGACUAUUAAAAGACGAAAUUGCAAGAAUCUGGAGUAUGAAGAAAGCGUCUGUCAUUCCAGUAGUUAAGAGGCACUCGGAGCACUGACGACCAAAUUCGAGAAUAUAUCAAAGAAAUCGAAAUUGACAUGAGAGCAGAGCAAGUCUAAAAACUACUCUGCUGAGGACAGCUAGGAUUUUUGAGACUGGUACUUCGAUGUUGAAUGUCUCCCACGAUAAUUAACAACCGAAUAUCAAAAUUUAUGAUGUGCUGAAAAAGACUCUGUGAGACCUCUGGCGGCAGGCUGCGGUCCGGCCUCGCAGAAUCUAUUAGUACAAACAAGACCGAACGUUCUGAGAAGUAAAACAAUAACAAUAAUAAUAACAAUAUGGUACAUCGUCAGAGAAUGCUGGAAACUGGCACAACGUGAAUACAAAAGACGACAUGGCAAUGUGGAAAGAAUGAUCCAUUCCGAGCUUUUAAUGAUAAUAAUAAUAAUAAUAAUAAUAAUAAUAAUAAUAAUAAGAAGAAGAAGAAGAAGAAGAAGAAGAAGAAGAAGAAGAAGAAGAAGAAGAAGAAGAAAAAGAUGAAGAAGAAAUCGUGGGCUUGGUUAAAUAAGGGGCAAUUAUAAAAAGAAACAAAGCCUAAUUGUAGCUACACAAAAUCAAGAGAUAAAAAACAAACGACUCGCGAAUAAAUAUAUAUGGAGGAAAUGUGUCAGAAAAAUGUAGAGCCUGUGGAAAUUAGAACGAGGCAGUGGCACACAUUGUAACAAAAUCCCCCAAGUUGGCACAGGAAGAAUAUAAGAAACAAAGGCACGACGUUUGAUUCUAGGAUCGCAAAGAAAGAGGAAGAAAACACACAACAAAAAGAAUACAAUGUCUUAAAAUUUGAAAUAGGAAGAAAUUAGAAUAUGCGAACAGUAAAGGUCAUGUCUAUGAUAAUUGGUGCGUUGGGAACAGUGAACCAAGUUAUAGACAAAUGGCCGAAGGAGAUUAAAAUAGAAUGCUCGGUAGAUCUCCCACAGAAAGUUUGCUUCUUAGGGACACCAAGGAUUAUCAGGAGGGUUCUAAGCACUUGAAAGACAGCUGAAAACCUGUUGAUAAUUAAGGUUACAGGUAGUAAUCCGCUACCCACAUAAUUUCUACUAGGAAUAAGAGCAAACCUGAGCCAAGUCAAAAUAAUAGUUUGAAUAACAAGGAAAGCAAAAGGGGCACGAAAGGAAUACAAAAGGAGGCACGAUAAAGUGUCUAAGUUUGUUCACUGGAGAUUAUGUGAGAGGUACGGUCUUGGAAGAACAAGAAGGGGUACGAACAUGAACCAGAAGGCGUUACAGAGAAUAAUGAAUAUAAAAUCUUAUGGUAUUUUGCAGUCCCAAGUGACUCUUUAAUAGAUGCCCGAAGACCUGACAUUGCUGAAGUGGAUAAAAGGGAAAAGUAGUAGGAGCAGAAGAAGAAGAAGAAGAAGAAGAAGAAGAAGAAGAAGAAGAAGAAGAAGAAGAAGAAGAAGAAGAAGAAGAAAUUGCAAGGUUGUGGGCAAAGAAGAGAGUGACUGUCAUCCCAAUAGUUGUAAGGGCACUCGGAGGACCAGCAACUGAAUUUGGCAAAUAUGUCGAAGAAAUUCGAAUUGACAUGAGGGUAGUAAAGCAUGCGCAAAAGAUUGUUCUAUUAAGACACAGCGAGGGUUUGGAGUUUGGUAUUUUGGUGUUGAGUAUCUUCCAAUUUAUGUAUCAACUCUUAUAAUUCGUGGAAAGAGACCCUGAUAAACCCAGCGAAACUUUUGUCAACUGGCCGCUGUCCGCUUUCACAGAAUUAACUAGAGUGAGAUCGAGAUCUGUGAGAAAUAAAAUAUAUAGUAUCAAGAGCACUCGGAGAGUGCAAACCUCCGCCAAGGCAACACCAAUGUCCUCUCAACGAUUAGCCAGAGAUGAUAUUUGAAAUGAGAAUAUCUGAAAUAAACUCGUCUGCUCUCACAAACGAAAAUACUAAAAAUGAACCCGACCGCUCGCAAAAAUUAAGUAAAAAAAAAAAAAAACGAAAAAUAAGCCAGGUUUCUUUGUCCGGCACCGGAUUGAUACCAAAAACUUAUCAGUUAGUACCAGUCACGAGGCCAGAGAUCCCUGAAAGUUUCAUCCGAAUCCAUUCAGCGGUUCUUGAGAUAUCUUGUCCACAGACAAACAAACAAACACGACUGUAAAUAAUAUCUCCGCCUUCGGUAAGGCGGAGGAAUAAUGAUAAUAAUGAUAAAUCAGCAAGCCUCUGCCAUCGGUGUCAGUUCAUCGCCGUUAUUUUCAUUUUUAUCCCCCUGGGGCUUAUGGUUUCGAUGUGUCUGGAAUAUUGAAUGCGCCAUGGGCUCUUGGACCGAUCAUCUUCGUGUUUUCUUCUUUUUGGUGUCCCCAUUAAUGCAGUCAAACUGAGCAUAACUUGUGGCCUGCUAGGAGAAAUCAACAAAGAAUAUGCAUAUAUAUGUCCAUGCUUACAAACAUAAAAACUAUACUCUCAACGUAUAUACAAGCGCCUAUUUUCUCUAUAUAAUCACACUACCGCUACUCAGAGAUACGCGUAUAUGUGUAUGUGUGUGCAUUUUAUAUACAUAUACAUACUUACGUACAUAAAUGCAUACUUCCAUGCAUAUAAACAUACUUAUAUACACGCAUGUAUACACACACAUAUAUAUGUAUACGGUUGUGUCGUGGUUCUAUCUCUUCAUUUAUUUAUUAAUUUCUCUCUCUCUCAAUCUGUACGCGUGUGUUUAUGCGUUCUUCUAUCUUUGAAUGUAGUAUAAUAUGUCUGUAUGUGCGUAUGUAUGUAUGUGAGUGAGAGAGUGAGUGAGUGUGUAUACGUGUGGCUGUGUGUACGUGUGUAUGUGUGUGUAUAUGUGUGUGUAUGUGUGAGUGCAUGCGCGCUCGUGUAUGAUUUUUAACACGUAUACCUGUUUAUACAUUCGUGGUUACGCAGUAAAAAAAUUCAAAAAAAUACCUGACAAAUGAAUUUUCUCUGUGAAUAGUCAUUUGAAAAUUUAUAGAAAAUAAAUAUAUAUGUUAUUGAUAGAGGAAAGCAAAAAGACAGAAUAGGAAAUAAAAAAAAAUUACCGUUUAUCGAUUCAUAACUUGCAUUGUAUUAAGCAAACUUCAACAUAAGGUAUAGCCAGAAGAUUUCAUAUUUUUGAGAGAAUUGUGAGAGAAUGAAGAACAAAAUCAACAGCUAGUGGCAGAUAAUCGAUUAGCAACAAAAUGCAUGUUAUUAAAUUGUUAGUGAUAUUUUGAUGUAAAAUGUUUUAUUUUUUUAAUUUACAAGUAAAUUAUAUAUUUGCUUGCAAAACGUAAAAACAGAAAAGGAAUUGUUUUGAUAUUCUUUUGUUUGUAAAUUUAAAAGGAAUGUGUGGAUUUAUAUUCAAAUUUAAGUGUAUAUAAGGAUUUAUAUAUGUUUGCAUUUACGUACGAUUUUUAAAAUAAUUAUUUCAAUAUCCAACAGUAUGGGAGCUUGCAACCAAUGAAAAAUACAAGAAAGCAUUGAAGUGGUUAAAUUUAAAGCUGAAUUUCUGAAAAGACUUUCAAAUGGAUGAAAUAUGUAUGUAAAAGGCGAUGUCCUAUUUAUUAUAUAUAUGAAAACAAUGAAAUGCUUUUUGCUUUCUACAUUAUAUGAGUACAGCACUUUAUAUCACAGCCAAAUAUAUAGAAAUGAAGCUUUAGUAAUUAUUUGCACAUAAAUAUUUCAAAUUCUUUCGCUAAUACUUUGUAUGCAGCGUAUACAUAUUCCAUUAACACUUUGUUUUCCUCAUUGUCAUUAUGAAUAAUCUCGAAAAUGCCAUGAACGAUAUUAGAAUGAGAUCAGUUAAGAGCCUGUCUAGAUUUUUGAUGAAAUUAAGUCAAAUUAAUAAUCGGUUUUCCAAGAAAAUCAUUUGAACAGCGUUGUAAAGUUUCUAUAUUUUUAUCAACCUUGACUAGAUGUGAUAAUAUUCUUUCAUGUUAAUAAUUCUUGACUAUUUAAUAGUUCUUCCUUGCUGUAUUUCUAUAGCAAACAUUAUUGAAGUUAUACAUGUAUGUUAUUUUAGAAUGAUAUUAUUUUCAGACUCCAUAAAACAGAAUUUAUUAUUAUAUCCUAACAGUAGUUAUUGUAAACAACAGUCACUUAAUGGAUGACUCAAAUGAAGUUAAAUAUAUUACAUAAAAUAAAUAAAUAAAUGUCGCAUACAUAAAACUUUAAAAUAUUCUGUUGCAGUAACUCUUACUAACCUAAUAUUGAUGUCAUUUCUUUUCUGUAUUCAUUAAGGCAAUAGUUACAUAAAAUUUUAUAAGCUUCGUAGCAAUUUCGUACUAUAUUGUAGUAGACAAGGUGGUUAAAUCAUAGAUACGAAUAUUUCCAGUUUGAGAAAUGUCAGGUAACCCUGAUUGCUCAUGAUGAAAAUAUAGAAUGUAAUGUCUAUAUCAGUCAAAAAUGAACCACCAACGAAACAAUGGGUGUAACUACGUAGACUCUCUUGAUCUUCUACAAACAACAGCUACAUCUUUUGGAACGCUGGCCUGCCAUCAUGAAAGAAGGAUAAAGAAUAAGGAUGAGAUGGACAAGGCUAGAAUGUCCUUGAACAUAGGUAUACUCACGUCAGAAUUGGAACAAAACAACACUUUCAAGUUGCCCCAAUUUUUACUUAUUCAUUUAUAGUUCGAGUCUAUAUGAGUUCGUUCCACUCACUAGUACUAAACGAUAAAUUUAUUUUAAAUUAGAUCUUAAGGAAAGACAGUAUGAUCAUGAUGUGGAUGCCCUUGAUCAUAGAUCUAGUCAUUUAAUGCUAUCCUGUAACUAAACCAUAACAACUAACAAUGUCACUGAAACGGUCUUCUCUCAGGAAUAAUUGAACUAAUGAAAGAACUGCUAGAGAAAUGCACUGCUAGGGAAAUGUGUCUCUUAUUUCUAGAAGAAUCACCAUCAACGUAUGAGCCCGUUUGUUAAUAAGACCAUAGCAUAAAAAAUACACAACCAAAACUCAAUUUUUUCGUGCCCCAUGAAAAUAUAAACAGAGCUAGACAGUGUCAUCUUUGCCUAGCUUAGCAAUAUAUAUUGAUCUAUCAUUUCGUUCUUUUAAAUAAAAGAAAAGUAUCAUAUAGAACAAAUCCUCUUGUGCAAUGUAAACGAUGAGAAUCAAAACAAUGGUUUGUAUAUCAUGCUCAAUAAUUUCAGCCUGACUGGAUCUGGAAUAUGUCGAUCCAGGGUAUGUUUCCUUUCAAACGAUUUUUAUGUUGACGACACUCUGGAUUAAUUAGCGAAAUAAAACAUGCGUGACAACUAUAAACCCAUGUCUUCGUAGCCAAUAAGUCAGCCAUGAGACUUACACAACAAACAGGUAUUUAUGAUGCAAAGCAUUAUAUUCAAAGCCCUGUUUUAACAUUUAGUAAGUUUUCUUUAUUUAAAAUCAUGUAUGAACAGACUUCGUGAGUGGGAAAAUUUAAUUAAAGUCUGAAAAGUUAUUCGCCAAAAAUAAUUAUAUAUAAACAAAAAUAUUUCAGCUCGCCUGUACAACAUUAUGCUUACAUUUUCAUUUGCAUACAUUACAUACAUAUAUAUAUAUAUAUAUAUAUAUAUAUAUAUACAUGCUCACAGACACGCACACACACACACACAUACACACACACACAUAUAUAUACAGUAUUUAUGUAUAUAUAUAUAUAUAUAUAUAUAUAUAUAUAUAUAUAUAUAUAUAUAUAUAUAUAUAUAUAUAUAUAUAUAUAUAUAUAUAUAUAUAUAUAUAUAUAUAUAUAUAUAUAUAUAUAUAUAUAUAUAUAUAUAUAUAUAUAUAUAUAUAUAUAUAUAUAUAUAUAUAUAUAUAUAUAUAUUCGCGUAUGCAUGUAUAUCUAAUGGACAUUGUAAUCAACUAGUCACUGAUAUUCAGUUUUAAUCGCUAACACUUUCUUUCGUUCUCCCUCUCUGCACAUACCUCGCCCCACAACACAUUUAAUUCUAAUAAUUAAAUUCCUGAUACCCUGAAACUACGAUCCAUUUUUCAUAUUUAAAAUAUCGGUCUAUUUCAUACAUAUAAACACACAUAAUAAUAUAUAUAAAUAUAUAUAUUCUCAUGUGUGCGUAUGUGUGUACGUGUGUGCGCGUGUAUGUCUAUAUAUAUUUAUACAUAUAUAUAUAUAUAUAUAUAUAUAUAUAUAUAUAGAUAUAUAGAUAGAUAGAUAGAUAGAUAGAUAGAUAGAUAGAUAGAUAGAUAUAAAUAUAUAUAUACAUAUACAUAGAUAGAUAUAGAUACACACACAUACGCACACACACACACACACACACACACACACACACACACAGAUAUAUAUAUAUAUAUUUACGUAUAUAUGUAUGCACAUAUGGUUGUAUAAUUUUUCAAGUUUCCAACACAUACCGUGUACUCAUUAUGCUUAAAUGAAAUUUAAUAAUCUUCCCUUUGAUAUUUCCAUCCAUAAUCAACUCUGAAUAUCUUUAUUAAUUAUGUGUUUACAAAUAUACUUAUAAUGAUAACUAGAAAGCAAUCUUUACAACAGUAUACCUUAUUGUCUUGCUUAAGUGUGUUUAGUAAAUAUAGUAAAGAAAGUUAAAAUCUGAAUUUUAAGCAUUUAACAUUUUUUUUUAUUUUUGUUCCUUUUACUGUUUUAAACCUCCGGUUAUUGACCACAUUCAUGGACAACAUUAUCAAGAGUUCACCUCCAGUAGUAUGUCUGUUACAAAAUUAAACAUGGAAAAAGGAAAGGCAUGGACAUAAUUGAGAUGAGCAAAACUCCUGGGAAUUUACUUUUGUUCGACGACUACAGUCUGGAAUUACCUCACACACUCAUACAUUCACACCCGAAAUUAUGUAUGUAUAUAUGUAUCAUAUAUGUAUAUAUAAUAUAUAUAUAUAUAUAUAUAUAUAUAUAUAUAUAUAUAUAUAUAUAUAUAUAUAUAUAUAUAUAUACAUAUAUAUUCAUAUAUAUACAUAUAUAUACAUACACACUUAUAUAUAUAUACAUAUAUACAUAUAUAUAUAUAUAUAUAUAUAUAUAUAUACAUACAUAUAUAUAUAUACACACACACACACACAUAUAUAUAUAUAUAUAUAUAUAUAUAUAUAUAUAUAAGGAUGAAAAGGAACACACGAGUUGAUAUAUAUGGAAAAAAAGUCAAGAUAGAAAAUGCUAAAAUAAUUCUAUAAAAAACAUUUCAGUACCGGUUUCAGUUAUUGAGACUUUUUCAACUGUAACAAUUAAAUAAUUAAAUUUAGAAAAAAUUAAAAGAAAAGUUUAUUUAAAAGAAUAUUUGUAUAGGCGCAGGAGUGGCUGUGUAGUAAGUAGCUUGCUUACCAACCACAUGAUUCCGGGUUCUUCUACUAUAGCCUCGGGCCGACCAAAGCCUUGUGAGUGGAUUUGGUAGACGGAAACUGAAAGAAGCCCGUCGUAUAUAUGUAUAUAUAUAUGCGUGUGUGUUUUUGUGUGUCUGUGUUUUCCCCCCUAGCAUUGCUUGACAACAGAUGUUGGUGUGUUUAUGUCCCCGUUACUUAGCGGUUCGGUAAAAAGAGAUCGAUAGAAUAAGUACUGGGCUUACAAAAGAAUAAGUCCCGGGGUCAAGUUGCUCGAUUAAAGGCGGUGCUCCAGCAUGGCCGCAGUCAAAUGACUGAAACAAGUAAAAGAGGAAGAGUAAAAGAGAGAAUAGUGUUCAAAUACAAGUGGCAUUUUCCUUGUUUCUGCCUGUCUCUGUCUCUCUUGAUUACUCUUAUGAGUUCAAGGUCCUUGUGAAUUCUUGGUAGGGAAGAAGAAGAAAAAAAGGAAGGAGGUGGGGGAGAAGGGGAUUAAUAAUAAUUUGGGAGUGCCAUGAUAAUAGUAUUUUGAAUGGUCAGUGUUUGGUAGCAGUCCCUGUUCAAUUCAUGAAAAUAUUUCUUUUGAAUGUUUUGUUAAUAGAAUAUUCUAAAGAGCAUUAGUGAUAAAGUUAGGAAGGAGAAGGGAGAAGAAGAAGAAGAAGAAGAAGAAGAAGAAGAAGAAGAAGAAGAAGAAGAAGAAGAAGAAGAAGAAGAAGAAGAAUCUCUUGAAUGUAUCAUUUUUAAUAUUUGCGUGUGUAUUUGUAUUAUUCUAAGGCCGAGGUGGAUAUGUCAUUUGUCGUAGACGGGUUUAGAAGGGGCCUGCAUUUUGUAAUAAAGAGAGUUUCUUUACUAAUUCGUUGGCUCCAGGUUGUAUCGUCCUUGAAUUGUUAGAGGGGAAUAAUUCUGAAGCUUGGAUUUUUGUUGUUGACACAAAUGUCGAUGUGUUGGCUGAAUGCUAUUUUUCUGUUUUGGGGAAUUUUUAUCUGGGAUCUGUGCAGGGCCAUUCUUUCACGUAAACUAUUUUUUGUUUGGCCUAUGUAUUGCUCUUGACGCCCAGAGCGGGUUAGUGUGUAUAUCAGGUUCUCCGAAGCACAUGUGAAGUUGCUUUUCACUGUGAAACGUUGUCCCUGUUUGAAGCAGAACUCUGAUCCCUCAAUUAGAUAAUCGCAUAUCCCACAAUUGGGUCUUCCACAUUUUUUUACUGACGGCUUCUGUGUUGUUGAGCGUAUUCGGGCUUGUGUUAAGAGACUUUUCAUAGAUUUGGGCUGUCUCUUGCUUUUUAUGAUGGUGUGUGUUUGGAGGAUUAAGUUCAUUCUGUGAUCCUUUUUGGAGGAUGGUGUCGAAGGUUUCAUUGUUGAGAGGGUUGUGUGUGGAGAUGUAUGGUAAGGCUUUUGGUUGUAAAUUUUUCUUUAAUUUGGGAUGUCUGAGUUCCUGGAUGUUGAGUGGAAGGGCACGUUGAAAGCAUAUGUCAAUUAGUGAAGGUGGAUAGUUCUUGGUGAUGAGUGUGUUCUUUAGUUCAUGUAGUCGUGUGUCUCCGGUGCUUGCAUUAGAAACUAGUACAUAUCCUUUUUGCUAGGUUGAAGGGGAUAUUUAUUCUGGUGUGUCUGGGGUGGCAUGAAUUGAAUGGAAGAUAUUGCUUGGAAUCCUUAGGCUUGUAGUAUAUAUAUGUUUCUAUUACGUUAUUAGAUUUCUUAAUGAGAAAUAUAUAUAUAUAUAUAUAUAUAUAUAUAUAUAUAUAACUAUACAUAUAUAGUUUGCACACGAGAUCCAGAGAUUCUUCGUAUAGAAGACACGUGGUAGUGCUCAAAAGAUUCAAAUUUGACUGUCUAAAAAAUAAAAUCUUCUCUACCCUGAUGACGGAAGCUCGUCUCAUCCAAUGUUAAUUGCAUCUAUAUGAUUGCAUAUUGUGAUGAAGUAAAUCUACCAAUAUUUUUAUGGAUCGUCGAGCCCUCAGAAACAGCUGUUGGACUUAAACCAACUUUCUUACCCUCCUUUAUACUCUGUAAGUUAGACCUAUCAAUAUAAACGUCAAUAUAUUUAUACAUAAAAAUUCAUUAUCUGAAAGUUUACACUUUUUGCUUUCCCUCGUUUUGCAUGUAUACAUAUAUACACAAUUCGUAUUCGAUGCAUUUAAUAAAUUUAAUAUAUUUGAUGUCUAAUUUGUUUAUCGGCAUAAUUCUGCUCCCCCAUCUCUCUUUCUCGUCAUAUAUAUAUAUAUAAACAAUGAUAAUAAUACGGAUUAUACCAAAGUGGCAAAGUUUUACAUUUAAUUCUUUUUACAUAUACAGCUUCACAUAGAUCUACACAUGUUUCAGUUGCACCGAUUACUAACCGUUGCGAUUGCAACGCUAGUAUAAUACCUGGGCAGUUAAAUACAAUUACAGACUGACAAUUACAGCAAACUCACGUAUGCUCACCAUUUGUAACGUAGUGCUAUUGUACAGUAUUACAUCAUACAGUACAAAACAAAAUUAGGUAGGAAAAUACUUGAGGAAAAUAUUCAUAUACUAUAUAAAUUUCCACACAAUAAAUAGAGAAGAUUAAAUAAUGGAAACCAUACACUUAUAACAAGGUAAUGUCAUAAUUAACACGCACAUACAUCACAAAAAUAUACAUAAGACUACCGAUGCCUGAAACUAGUAUUCAAACGAUUUUGGAGAGAGAGUUAACAUGAAUUCAAUCAGUGUAUAGAAAGAAUACAGACAUCAAAUAUAUGCAAUUAUUACAAAUGCGACUGUGAAGCUCUGGAAACGUCGAAUAUGGGCUUGGGAAAUAUAUUGUCCCAAAUCAAGGGUAAAAACAACAAAUAAGAAAAUACGAUAUAUCUAAAAUAUAAAAAAGAAAGCUUGAACUCAGUCAUGUAUUCAAUAACAUACGCAUAGAAUAUGUCCCCUUAUAUUCGUGUAUAUAUAUAUAUAUAUAUAUAUAUAUAUAUAUAUAUGUAUAUUUGUACGCGUGUGUGUAUAUAUGUAUUGUAUUGUAUUGUAUUGAAAGUGUAUGUCUGUGUAUAUAUAUACAUAUAAUGCAGUACUGUAUGUAGUUAAUUCUUUCUUUCUUUUUAUAAUUUGCAGGGAAUCAGUAUAUCUUCAUUCUGGAUAUAAGGAAAAAUAAGAAGCAAACUUUAUAACGUUAAUGCAUCUGUCAGAGCGCCGACAUGAGAUGCAUCUCCAUUCACAUGAACAACACUUACAAAUGUAUGUCUAACAUAAUACUUAAGAAAAAGGAACCAUUUAAUCGCCAUCGCCAGAACACCAGCACUAGCAAGGAAAGUAAUCCCAGUUUUGAUGGACGUUAAUAGUAGAAGAGGAGUAGCAAUAAGGAUAACAUUACUCUAUAAUUAAUGUAUUAGAGAAUCAAGCCAAAGUUAGAUACGACGGCAAAGACUAUAACAAGAGUGAAUCGGUAAAACAACACAAAAUAUAUACAGGAAAAGAUACAGAAAACAAUAGUAUCACAAUGAUAAUAGUAAACGGUAAAUGAUAAAAAAAACAACCCAAUUUAACUCAUUAACUCUAUGAACAAUAUUUAGGACACCAGCUUAUAGUUUCCAAGUCGGCUAUUUGAGCAGCAAC